UGGAACUGAGACACGGUCCAGACUCCUACGGGAGGCAGCAGUGGGGAAUAUUGCACAAUGGGCGCAAGCCUGAUGCAGCCAUGCCGCGUGUGUGAAGAAGGCCUUCGGGUUGUAAAGCACUUUCAGCGGGGAGGAAGGCGGUGAGGUUAAUAACCUUGGCGAUUGACGUUACCCGCAGAAGAAGCACCGGCUAACUCCGUGCCAGCAGCCGCGGUAAUACGGAGGGUGCAAGCGUUAAUCGGAAUUACUGGGCGUAAAGCGCACGCAGGCGGUCUGUCAAGUCGGAUGUGAAAUCCCCGGGCUCAACCUGGGAACUGCAUUCGAAACUGGCAGGCUAGAGUCUUGUAGAGGGGGGUAGAAUUCCAGGUGUAGCGGUGAAAUGCGUAGAGAUCUGGAGGAAUACCGGUG
rnacentral:rRNA from 1 species